GAUGAACGCUAGCGGCAGGCCUAACACAUGCAAGUCGAGGGGCAGCACAGAAACAGCAAUGUUUUGGUGGCGACCGGCGGACGGGUGCGUAACGCGUAUGCAACCUACCUUUAACAGGGGGAUAACGGAGAGAAAUUUCCACUAAUACCCCAUAACAUCGAGCAAGGCAACGUGAUUGGUUGAAAACUCCGGUGGUUAAAGAUGGGCAUGCGUUUUAUUAGGUAGUUGGUGAGGUAAUGGCUCACCAAGCCUACGAUACAUAGGGGGACUGAGAGGUUAGCCCCCCACACUGGUACUGAGACACGGACCAGACUCCUACGGGAGGCAGCAGUGAGGAAUAUUGGUCAAUGGGGGCAACCCUGAACCAGCCAUGCCGCGUGCAGGGAGACGGCUCUAUGAGUUGUAAACUGCUUUUAAACAGGGAUAAAGCACAGUAUGUAUACUGUGUUGAAGGUACUGUAAGAAUAAGGAUCGGCUAACUCCGUGCCAGCCGCCGCGGUAA
rnacentral:rRNA from 1 species